CACACACACACACACACACACACACACACACACACACCCACUCCUCUCUGAGCCAUAAACAAAUCCUGGUUUAGGAGCAGAUGGAAGCCUUUCCCACCCAUGAACCCUCCGCUCCCACGCUGACAGAACAUCCUCAGCCAGGGCCGUAAUACCCUACAUUCACCCAGCAACCACACAGCACCUUAAAAUCCUCACCUCACAGUCCUUAAUACUAAACCUCACCUCACAAUAAAAGUAGUACUUACAUUUUCAAUGAAUUAAUUUAAUCAAGCUCAUUUUGAAUCAGUGAUUGUUGAGCUAGCUAUGAUCUCACUCUGUGGAUCUGACAGAGAACUGCUCUCAGCAUAACAUCUCGGACCAAAGAUGUUUUCAUUGUUAUUUAUUUAUUUGUGUUUUUUCCGAUCAUCUCCACAGUGUCGGCAUCACCUCGUCCCACAUGCUAGUUGAGGCAUACGGGUGAAGCCAACCACCGCAUGGGCCAGCAGGUGAAGCCAACUGCCGCGUGCCGUGGAAUUACUACUGACACGGUGUUGUUGCGGAGAUGACAGUCAUCCAGUACUGGCCAGCAGAGAGGAGUUACAGCAACCCUCCCUCGCCGAGAGCAGGGAUAAUUACACUCUCCACCGCUCCCGGCCACAGGCACCUGUGACAUCAUCAGAAUGCGACAGGUCCUGCCAACACUCUGUGACCCUGCGUCACCGUGGAGCUCAGUGACGAGGGGGGCAGCACUCGCCCAUCUGAGGCCAGUCAGCACAGGGAGAGGUUGUGUUGGGGCUGUGCUCACCUGAAGACGUUGCGGAAGUAGUUGAGGGCUGCAGUGAGCGCUCCAGGCUGUGACAGGGCGUACAGAACAUUGUGUCGAUGUCUGGACCAAGAGAAAUCCCUUAUACGUCUGGUACUCAGUGAAUAAAGAUCCUGAC